AUCUUCCUUUCUUGUUUUGCUUUUCUUUCAGAGUGUCAUGUCUGUGGUUAUAACCAGUAUCCAUUCAGAUUAGUAAGAGUCCAUAGGGCAAGGGUGCAGUGGCUCACGCCU